rnacentral:rRNA from 1 species
GACGAAGGGGGCUAGCGUUGUUCGGAAUUACUGGGCGUAAAGCGCGUGUAGGCGGUUGACCAAGUCGGGUGUGAAAGCCUUGAGCUCAACUCAAGAAAUGCACUCGGUACUGGGUGACUAGAGGACCGGAGAGGAUAGUGGAAUUCCCAGUGUAGUGGUGAAAUACGUAGAGAUUGGGAAGAACACCAGUGGCGAAGGCGGCUAUCUGGACGGUUUCUGACGCUAAGACGCGAAAGCGUGGGGAGCAAACAGG